GACGAACGCUGGCGGCGUGCUUAACACAUGCAAGUCGAACGGACAGGCCCUGCUUUUGUGGGGUGCUCGAGUGGCGAACGGGUGAGUAACACGUGAGUAACCUGCCCUUGACUUUGGGAUAACUUCAGGAAACUGGGGCUAAUACCGGAUAGGAGCUCCUGCUGCAUGGUGGGGGUAGGAAAGUUUCGGCGGUUGGGGAUGGACUCGCGGCUUAUCAGCUUGUUGGUGGGGUAGUGGCUUACCAAGGCUUUGACGGGUAGCCGGCCUGAGAGGUUGACCGGCCACAUUGGUACUGAGAUACGGCCCAGACUCCUACGGGAGGCAGCAGUGGGGAAUAUUGCACAAUGGGCGGAAGCCUGAUGCAGCAACGCCGCGUGCGGGAUGACGGCCUUCGGGUUGUAAACCUCUUUCGCCUGUGACGAAGCGUGAGUGACGGUAAUGGGUAAAGAAGCACCGGCUAACUACGUG
rnacentral:rRNA from 1 species